ensembl:lncRNA
CCAUCGCGCCGCGCCCGUUGCCAUGGCAGCAGCGCGGCGCGGCCCCUCCUCGCUCCCCGAGUCCCGAAUGGCGCUGGAGGCGCCCCUGGAGAUCGCCCAGCCCGACCUCGCUCACCGCAGCGCCUGGGCCGGAGCGUCUCGGAGAGGGAGACUCCGCCGCCUCGCGGGCAGCUGCUCAGUGCUCUGCCACCCGCACCGUGAAGAAGCCCUUCCUCACCUGGAGGUGGGACUUCUGGUGGUUUGGUUUAGUUUAUGGCCAUUGCGCCACUGAAAAGAGUCUGGCGCUUCCGUUGGAGAUAUUUAUCUGGAUUGGUGAGAUCGCCUCUUGUUGGAAAAUAUACCAAGUUUAACAUUUUUAUUUCCUAACUUCAGUCACGCGUGUUCGCCUUUGCCCCGGGGGAAGUUUCCCUCCAAAGCAUUGUUCCACCUGGAACAAUGAGGAGUUCGGGGCUGAGAGCGCACAAGAGAUAAAGGCCAUCAAGGGCCAUUGGCGAAACAUCAGCGACCAUCUGCUCCAGACCUGCCCCCUGGCACGGCUGGAGACACCUGGAAAAGGCCGAUAAGGAAAUGCAAAUUAGGAGUGAAGACCUAAUUAACAUCAGAGGCCAGGAAGUCCAUAUCCAAGAAGAAACCAAGCAUUAAGAACUGCGCGAGUGGGGACCAAUGAACAUUAAACUGAUGGAUUUUCUAUAGGUUUGGGACCGUAUAAAAUUUGACAAAAAUCUAGAAGUUUGAGGAAAAUCAUGAAGCGCGGUCCCCUGCGGCUGAAGCGAAGCGGGGGCUCCCUGGGGGCCGGCAAGGGGGAGAAGAAGGCUAAAGACGAAGCCCAGAUCCCGGAGCAGAUCCCGGGCAGCAAGGAGCAGAACUGGACUCAGCAGCCCAGAUGUGCCUCACUAGGGCCGAGCAGAGGGGCAGGAUCCCUCCCUGCCCUGCUGGCCACACUCCUCCCGAUGCCUCCAGGGUCCCCCCUGGCCCCAGGACACUCUGCUGGCUCAGGGACAGUUUGUCAUCCACCAGGAGCCCCAGGUCCUUCUCUGCAGAGCUGCUCCCCAGUGGGUCACCCCAGCCUGUGCUGGCCCCUGGGGUUUGUCCUCCCAAGGUGCAGGGCCCUACACUUGCCCUUGUUGAACCCCCUUGGGUUUGCCCCCUCCCAGCUGUUCAAGGUCCCUCUGAAUGGCAGCACGGCCUUCAGGUGAGGCAGUCACUCCCCUGAAGCCUGAUCAGGGUCCACUCUAUCCCCCACAGGUCAUUGCUACAAAACUGAGCAGGGCUGGAGCAGGUACGGAUCCCUGGGGACUCUGCCGUGCUGCCAGCCCCUCUGAGCUCUGCACGCAGCCAGGCCCUCCCCCCCGUCCAUUUUCCCACAUUUCCCGUGUCUACCUGCAAAGAUGUCCCGGGAGGCAGCAUCCAAUGCCCUGCUGAAGCCAGUCCUGGUGCCAAACACUGCCCGAAUGCCCCCACGUGGGGAGGGGGGCGGCUUUGGGGGCCUGUCCCAGACUCCCUUUCCUGCCCCACGGAGGUGACAGCAGAUGAGGGGGAACCUGGGAGAACCUCAGAGCCCCUCAAACCCAGCCAGGGCUUCCUACUGAGGCAGAAGGCAAAAUCCCAGACUUGUCAGGGUUGAAGUGACCUCUGGAGAUCCAGCCCAGCCCCUGGUGGAGUUAAGAUCAGGGGGGUGCAGGUCUGGGGUGCUCUGAUCCCCAGCCAGCACCAGGUACUGUGAAUGAUCACCCACAGGGAAACUGAGGCACAGAGCCCCACAGCCACCCCAAAAGAGGCAAGCCAAGCCCCACAGGCAACCUGCCUGAAACAGAGCACCCACAGCAUCCAAGCAAACUAGACUGUGUUGUAUUUACACUCAUGGACAGGAAGGGAGGAACAGGGAAAAGGGCGGUGCUGGAGAAGCAGGUGGCUGUGGGCUUUCCCAAGGGAUCCAUGGGAGCUGCUGCACUUCCUCGGGGCUGGUGGCUGCAAUUCCUGCAUCCCCUGAGGGGGAGGGAUCAUCCUCAGCCAAAAGCUGGGGCAAACCCAGCCUGGCCACCACUAGCUCCGUGCUGGCCCAGGUGUGUCCAGGGCUAACACGUGCAGCCACUUGCAUGCUCCAGACAUGAUGUCAGUGUUAUCCAGAAGGAAAAACCUGAGGAAAAGGCUGGUGAGAGACAGCCUCGCUCCUCUCUGUGCUGGAGGGGGGUUCAG